GGUCAAGUUAUUAAGGGUGCAGGGCGGAUGCCUUGGCACUAGGAGCCGAUGAAGGACGUGAUAAGCUGCGAUAAGCUUCGGGGAGUUGCACGUAAACUUUGAUCCGAAGAUUUCCGAAUGAGGAAACUCACUUAGAGUAAUGUCUAAGUAUCAUUAAGUGAAUACAUAGCUUAAUGAGGGGAACUCAGGGAACUGAAACAUCUAAGUACCUGAAGGAAGAGAAAGAAAUUCGAUUCCGUAAGUAGCGGCGAGCGAACGCGGAUUAGCCCAAACCAAUAAAGUUUUCUUUAUUGGGGUUGCGGACAUAUCAUAACGAAGAGGUAUCGUAAUUGAAGAGGUUUGGAAAGACCCACCACAGAAGGUAAUAGUCCUGUAUGUUAAACGAGAAGACUUUAGAUAUGAUCCAGAGUAC
rnacentral:rRNA from 1 species